rnacentral:misc_RNA from 1 species
UGAUUCGGCAUUCAAAAAUAUUGAUCCUUUCAUUUCAUUGAAGAUUUAUCUGGACUUCACCGACUCGCCCAUGCAUCUAGCACUAUUAAUGGCUAAAAUCACCUCAUUACAGAAAUAAAGCAAUUUGCGUAAUGGUGCGCUCAGUUUACUUUAUCACUCUUGUAUUCUCUCAAUGCCAUCUGAUUUUCCUUUUAUUGUAGUAGCUUGCACCUUGCCACCAUCAAAA